rnacentral:rRNA from 1 species
UACCAUCACCCCGAGUGGUCGGGACGAUUAUUGGGCCUAAAGCAUCCGUAGCCGGUUCUGCAAGUCCCCCGUUAAAUCCAGCUGCUCAACAGAUGGGCCGCGGAGGAUACUACAGAGCUAGGAGGCAGGAGAGGCAAGCGGUACUCAGUGGGUAGGGGUAAAAUCCGUUGAUCCAUUGAAGACCACCAGUGGCGAAGGCGGCUUGCCAGAAUGCGCUCGACGGUGAGGGAUGAAAGCUGGGGGAGCAAACCGG